UGUUGGGCUACUCGAGCGUCUGAAAUGACGACGACACGUUGUCUGAAAAAUCGCAAGUAGCAAAUUGGUCCGUACUAAUAAAUUGGAAAUGAAAACAAUGUUAUUUACUGGUUACAUUGAUAGAGGAUUCAGUAAAAACAAAAUUGACUUGUAAAGAGUCGUAGGCAACUAUUUUACCCGUAUUCAUUUUGAACAGCAUAUUAUUUACUGUGUGGCUACUUUCGCCUGCAGUGGCAAUGACCAGCUGAGCAGAGAAUACAGCCCCGUAUGACGAAGUAACCACAAUUUAAGUAAGAAACUACGACAAGAUCACCCACAAGUUUCAAAGAAAGAAAAUGGUGGAGCACACAGUGGGCUAUGGAAUAAAAGCUUUAAAGUGAAUGACGUUACCUGAAAAGACCAUUUGGCAAACUUGAGGAGUGAUGGUUCACCAGUAAUCAUUGAAGAGUAAAUUAAAUCCAUUAGAUUACCAAAGACAAGAUUUCGCUUUGGUCCGGGUGGUAAAUGGUAAUUGGUAACUUUCUUUCGCCGUAUGAGGCUCAUCAUCACCAGCAGAACAAAACCACCGGUAACACUUAAGAUCACGUCAAGCAUCUCUAAACUCAUCAGUAUUCUACUGGACCCGUACUUCGAGACUAAUCGAUUUAUCUUGCAGCGUUGGAAGCUAUGGUUCCCUAGGCUCCAAAUUUCAGAUUAUGUAAUUCGACCUUGAGCAACUCAGUCUCUGAUUGGCUGUUUGGCCAAAGAUGGCCGUGUCGUAAAAAAGACAGAACAAAUAAAGCGAACAAAAGGAAAAUAAGAUCAUUAAUUUGAUUAGUGGAUAGGCUCAUCGAAUUGGAUUACUCUUAGGCUUGCACCGCCUAAAAGCACGGAUUUAGUAUAACUGAAAGACGUAAUUUAUCUUGAAAACGAUUCGUGCUUAAAUCUGGGAAAAUUCUCAAACGCAGUAAUCCUAGGUUAUUGACCAAAAACAGAUGCAAAGUUUUUGUUGAGUUAGCAAAUGCCGGUAUCAUCACGUCCGGUAUCAAAUAACAUACAGAGCACAUCUUCCAAAUCGCCAUCAAACUGUUUGCAGCUGUGCGGGAAACGAUCGUCAUUAUACCCCAAGUCGAAAGGUCUCAGGAUGCCAUAGUAUGAAUUUCUGUCAAUAAUAAAAAGACUGAGUAUAUUCUCGACGAGUAAAUUCAUCAUAAGAAUCAUGUCGAAAAGUUUUAAGCACAAUAACUGAAAUACUCCUUUAAUUCUUGAACGAAAAGUUAUAAGAAAAGCAAAAAUAUUCCUACAUCGUGUUCCCGUUUCACUUUUCAAGCGCUAAUCAAACCGGAAAACCUAAAUCUGGUAGAAUGCCAUCCAAAUUAGAGUCCAAAAGAUACGCAAAGAUGUUCUAUGGGAAAAAAAUGGGUGUUGAUAAUACGUUAAAG